UCGAAGGUGAGGAGAUAGAGAAGAACAUAAAGAAGGGAGAGAAGGAAGGGCAGGGGCGCGGCGGCCUCGACGGUGAACCUCCGGUGGCGACGGUCUCCGGCGAGAGGCAGCGCACGGCACCAGCGCGAGCCUAUGGGGCGGCGGCGGCUUGGAGCUGCGGCUGCCAUCCAAACGUAUCCAAAAUGCCCGAUGUCGCCAAAGGUUGUGCAUAUUGGGAAUCUUGUUGGGAAUCAUCAUUAUGUCAAAAUGGUUCUGAUCUGCUAUGUCUCUAUCACCUCCUUAAUAGAAAAUCUCAAUGAGCAAAACAAGACUGCAAGAAGGAGAACUCAACGAGAGGAUAGCGAAGCUGGCCGGUGGUGUCACUGUCAUUCAGGUGGGAGGACGAACAUAAACUGAACUUAAAGAGAAGUUGGGAGGUGAGGAUGCUCUCGUGCAACUAGGUGAGUCAAUCAAUGUUUUGUCAUUGAACAUUUCGAGUUGUCAACUUUAUGUUUGCUUUUCAAAGAAGCAGAAUUAAGUCAAUUAGUUUGUUGCUUCCUUAAACCUUCUGAAUUGCUUCUUCUUUUCGCACGCUGCCGCUGAGUAAGGUAUUGUUGUUGGUGGAGUGUGCACUCUUUUCAAAUUGGCUGCUAAAAGUUGAUGUGUCAAGGAUACCUUGGUUGCAUAAGGUAAAAUAAACGAAUGGCAUUGCCCUAAUACUCGCAGCCAACACGGUCCACCACAUGUGGGUCACAAACAAUCAUGUUGAACCAUUGAGCAUUUUAGUUUUUCCAUUCAAAAUGAUUGCGAAGAAUGUCGGUGUCAAUGGCAGCAUUGUUACCGAGAAGGUUCGAUCUCAUUUACUAAUAUGAAGUUGAUAUAUUUCUGCAUAGAUCUAAAUAACAUAAAAGAUGAUGUCGUACCAGGUUCUUUCUAGCUGCAAGCAUGCAAUCCUUCUGUUCGGUAGUACGAGGACUUAAUGGCUGCUGGUAUCAUCGACCACAAUAAAGUUUAUAGCCACGUAGCUACCCAACACAGUUUCUUGCUUGCCAUUCUGAAAUAGAUACAAUUGCGCAGUUAGGGUGAUGAUGCAACUUGUGGGAUCAUUUAUUCCACCUUUUUUAAUUGGGGCUGCAUUAUAUAUUUUAUAGGCAGAACAGCCAUUUUUCUUUUGGGAGAUUUAGUCUUACUACUUUGGAAUAAAAGUGUCCAGAUCUAAUCUUAUUAUCACCUUGCAUUUUAUCCAAUGUAUAUUUGGGAUGCCCCAUGUCUAUUUACAUCAUUGCUAUCUUUUGCCACUUUAUCCAAUGUAUGAAUUAUCUUAUCUUUGGUCCACUUUGCAAUUUUAAAUGAUGUAUAAUCUGGAAAAAAUGAUCUCCGCUCUGUGGGCUCAAGUGAGCUUAAGCUGAUCGUCCACUUGCAUCUGAUGGUAACAGGGUAAGAUGUAUGCAUAACUUCAAUUCUUCUCUUGCAUCUGCUCGGAACUUACAUAUUGGUUGUGUGUAAAUUCAUAUCAGAAAUCAUUUUGCAUAAAAACAUUUUUUAUCGAGGCCAGACACCGAUUCUUCAUCUGGUUGUUGGAUCACAGUGAUGUCUCACUUUUUAAAAUACAAUUUGAACGACAUGCUAUUUUGUAUCCAUUUAAUUUAUUUAUUUGCAAAACAUAUUUUAGUUUUAUACCACGUGAACUCACUUGAUCAACGUUUGAAACGUGCGUUGCACGUACAUGCUUACUAGACAAUUGAGUGAUGAGCAGUGCAUGACGAUAAUGGUGUUGUGUGGGCCAAUGGAGUGAAAGGAAAUGUUGUGGCGAUUUUUUUUUAAAAAUGCCGAUAUAUUAAUUUAUGUAUCUAUAUAUCUAUACUAGACAAUUGCCCGUGCGUUGCAACGGGAGUAUAAACAUUCUAAUAAAUUAGCCUGUGACUGCACGUCUAUUAUUAUAUUGAUGCGCUAAAAUCUUAGCAAGUUCUUCUAUGCAAUCACCAUGAUUUACCUGCCAUUUUAUUGUUAAGCACUUAUUUGGUAAGAAUUUAAUGAAUUACCAAACAAAAUAUGUUUUUAUUUUGGUAAGUUAAUAAAACAUGAGACAAUUGAUUAUAUUUUAGUGAGAAUUUAUGGGAGAAAAAUUAGAGGUGAGAGGAAAAAUCAAAGAGAAGGAAAGAGUGGGACGUAUAUAAGAAAGGUUGGACGAAAGAGAGGUGAAAUGGGAACCUUACGUUCUUUUUAAGUAGUAUAAGUAGAGAAAGAGGAGAAGGAAAGAGUGGAACGUGUAUAAGAAAGGUUGGACGAAAGAGAGGUGAAAUGAGAACCUUAUGUUCUUUUUAAGUAGUAGAGAAAGAGGAGAAGGAAAGAGUGCAACGUAUAUAAGAAAGGUUGGACAAAAGAGAGGUGAAAUGAAAACCUUACGUUUUUUUAAGUAGUAGAGAAAGAGGAGAAGGAAAGAGUGGAACGUAUAUAAGAAAGGUUGGACGAAAGAGAGGUGAAAUGAGAACCUUACGUUCUUUUUAAGUAGUAGAGAUACCAUUAUAAAAAUACCAAAGGCCAUAUCUAAUUAAUCUCGGCCGUCAAACCAUGUUAAUCCAACGAUCUAGAUUGUUUCAAUGAUGAGCGUUUAAGAUGUUUAACGCGCAAUUAAUACCCUACCAAAUAUCAAUGGCUCUGCUAACCAUAUAAUUAAUGUGUACUAAUUGAUAUCCUACCAGUAGCAAUAUUAGCAUGCAUUGCAAAUACACAUUUACUAGUUAAUUAAAAGGUUCCUAUAAAUACGCCACGUAGUGUGAAACACUAUUAAGAAAAACAUCAUCCAACCUACUACAAAAUGAAAAUUUCCCAAUCUCAUGAGUCACCACAUUGGCUUGACGAUUGAGAAGCUUAGUGAUGCUCAUCGCUGUCUUCUUUAGACAAGAGGAAAAUGUCAAAUUUUAAUUUGCAAGAAAAAAAGCACAAAAGCCAGAUACCAACCAGCCUUCUAGAAGUUUGGUGCCCAGGAGCCUACAAGAAGACCGUUGUCCACUUGCGCAAUUCGACUAGUCAAAACUCAUGAGCCCAAAAGUUAUUGGUCUUUACCAAAGAUCACCAUCAUGGUGGCGUUGACACUCUGACAAAAGGAUCUAUGAAUCUUGGCUCUGGAGAUGGGUCGACAAUUCGAUGGUGGCGGUGGCUUCUGGAGCGUGUGCAUGCGAUGCGGUCAGCUGGGCUGGAUGUGUGCUCCCGGUACGCCAUGCAGGCGACUCUAUGAUGACCUUAGAUAUAACUAGUGGGGCAUUCUAAUGGCAUCCCCAUUGUCGAUUUUGUAGGUGUGACAUGGUGGCUUCGGGUUGUCUGAUAUAUGUUUUUAUUAGAUCUUUGUUGAAUAAUUUAAUAAAGAAGGUUGUGUGCAUCUUUUCAUGCACAUGCCUAGGGUUUUAACCUCUUCAAAAAAGUAAAAUCCAUCGGAAUUUGGUCAAAACCGGUAUCUCAUGAAACUUUCCUCGAAAGCCAAUGUCCUAAGUUAGUACUCGAAAUUUCUGAGUAGAGAAAUUCACGAUGUGCAAAAGCUAAUAGUGUUGUUCGCUCGAGUUUUGGCCAAGUCCAAAAUGCCUUGGGAGUUGGUAAGCUAAGGUUUUUUUUACCCCCAAACCGUAGAACAAUAGUUUUAUGGUAAUUUUCACUAAUAAUAAAAAUAUAUGUACAAACAGGUAAAUAAAACAUUCACAAAUCAACUACCCAACUCAUGUUUUCUCUAACAUGAUAAAUGUGUUAUCUUAUGAGAACUAUGAAAAGAGGGAGCUCAUCCAUUGCUCUAGGCAGGCAAUGUUCUUUCUUUUAGUUGUACGCUUGACCAGAGACAGAUCUUGAUGUAGUCCAUGCUUCCAGGCUUCCAGACUUGGGAGGGUAUUGUUGAAGAUCUUUCCAUUCAUUUGCAUCCAUAUGUUCCAGCAUCCGAAAAUAACGAUAUCCAUGGCAAUCUAUGGUGGGAAGACUUGCUUGAGGAAGAUAAUGUCAUCAAAAGCAGAUACUCCUCUGUGUCUAUUUGGUGCAAUGAUGUCCCAGCAUGAGAGUGCAAACUCGCAGUCCCAGAGUGAUGUGCCACUGAAGGACCCAUCAUAUUUUAUACAUCUUGCUGACAGAAAGUAUACCAGACUUCCACUCAAAUGUCCAUAUAUCAGCAGUGUUUCCAAGUUGCUGCACAAUUGAUGUUAGUUCAUUCAGUUGCUGGAAGGCAACUGUGUUAGACUAUAUAUAUACGAGGACUCUUGUAUACACAUGUAUUUGUACUGUACCCUUUGGUACUCCUAUGUAAUGAGAUAGCCACACCCCGUUUAGGGUGUCGAGCAGUUUCCCAAACUAUA